CUCAGAAAAUUCCUCUCAGCCAGAAAUGGAAAGGAUAGAGAGCACUUUCUAGGAGGUAGGAAUUUAUCUGCCAGUGUGUGAGAGUCAAAGGCGAGGAAAGUUCACCUUCUAACCAACUCUCGGUGCAGGAAGAGCCCUUCAGGAGUGCUGCAGUCUGAGACGUGACUGUUCAUCCCUGAGAAAAACUGAAGAGGCUAAAGUGGGAUCUGAUAUGUGUCGCCUUCUAACCAUAAAAUUAUGCUUGAAGCCACAUUCCUUGCUGAAAUGGAUUGCUCUUUUCCCCCUUCUUCUGUAAACUUUCAGGACUCUAAUACUGCUUGCUGCCAAGUGGAAAGAGACACCAAGCCUGCUUCAACUGACCUAGAAAGUAGAGAGGUGGGCGAAACUGCUGAGAAAGCAACAAAACACAGAAACAUGUUCUAUGUGUUUCUCUGAUUAGAGUUGAGAAGAACUCUCUAUCAAAUAGCCAGGAAUCAUCAGAGAGCAGGUUCUACAUUUCUUCAGUAACCACUUCUGUGUUAUUCCAAGAUGCUCUGAUGAGAAACUGUGCAUCAGAAGAAUAAUUUUUCCAAUUAGAGAAACAAGCAGAAAAUAGUUUCCUUUCCUACAGCACCACACCAAUGCACAUUCUAAUGGCCUUAUUCUAACCGCCACCUCCCACACCUGCUUCCUCUGGGUGGACAGCUCAUCUCCCUUUGCCUGAGACUUUCCAGUUGCAGCACUGACUGUCUUUAUCCCAGGAAAGGCCUCAGUGCCAGGUCCUGAGGUGGUUGGUCACCCUACAGACACGGGAUGGGGAUUUGGAGGAGAAAGAAGAAUGUGUCCUAUCUGGGAGGUUGCAGAAGACUUUCUUGCCAUGAGAGGAGACAGGAAAAGAAAAAGCAUGGCAAUGAGGUGAUGCUGGGCUAUUUGGGGGACCAGCAAGUAUGGCUCUAGAGAAGAAUCUGUGGGAAAAGAUAAAUUAAGAAGAUUAGACUGGGAGUACAUUAGGGAGAAGCUUAAAUGCCCAGAUACAGACAUGGAAAUUUAUCUCAUAGGAAGUAAGAAGCCAUCAAAUGAUUUCAAGCAAUGGAGUGAUGUAAUUUGAGUGAAACCUUAUCUAUUAAGCCAUCAAACGAUUAUUUUCCCUUUUAAUUAUUUCAGUCCUAUGUUACUUUCUCAUUCAUUAACCAAAAAUAUCUUAAUAUUUAACUUUAUAAUCACACAAAAGUCUCCAUUUUAGGGACCACGUUGCACCUUCUUGUCUCUUUUCAUUAUCUAGAGUAGUUUUAAACUAACAGGAAUGACAAAUUAAGCUUCUUAAUGAUUUUUAUGAAUUAAUAUUAUCGGAAUACUUACUGUCCAAUAUAUUGUGUAUUUUUAUUUGAAAAAGUGCUGUUGUUAGACACCCUUCAAAAAAGGUAACAUAAUGAAAGAUUUCUAAAGUGGUAAUACCACUUUAGUUAUUUUUUUUUCCUCCGUAGAUAAGCAGAUAUUUUUUCCCAGUGUAAAUAAAAUAAAUACUAAGGGUGGGAUAUUUCAAAAAGUUUAUAUUUGAUCUGCUCUUAAGCUUUUAGGGGUGAUAUUUGGUGACAUUUUAGAUUCUUCCUUACUAUGUCAGAUGGGACUUCAUUCAGAAAAUAAUCAAAACCACUUUCUGUCUAUAAAUCCCCAAGUGUGCUGAGGAAAAGUUAUCUUCAGUCUGUUGAAUCAUCAGUGAAUAAAGGCUAUUGUUUCUCUCUGAUUUUAGUUCUUUGCUGGUGCUGAAAUGAGAAUAGUCCUUGCUGGUUUUAUAUCAUCAGUACAUCUAUAACACACAUACAUGCACACACUCAAAAAUAAGUGAGUAUUUUUAUAUUCUUGCUACUUUUAGUCUCUUUUCUGUUCUUUGUUCAUUUACAUACAUAUUUUUCAGUUCAAUCUCCAGAAAUACACUCAUUUGUCAGCUGAAUUUGUCAGAUGACUAUUACUGAGGAACCAGUAUUUUCCAUUUGUAUUAUACUUUUCCUUGUAAUAAAUGAGACAGAAUAAGGUUAAAAAUAUAAUACUGCAAAAUGUACUCACAAGUUGACUAAGGACCCAGACCUGUAUCUGUGUACCUCAUUCUUCUGUGUAAAAACCCAUUAAUAAAUUUCUAUUUAAGUGAAG